AAAUAAGAAGCAAAUAUUGCAUUUAAUUUCGACUUAAAAAUUUGAGAUUGUUUCUCCUUAUUUA
rnacentral:tRNA from 1 species